UCUGUAGCCAGCUUCCCUGUCACUUUGGGUUUUUUGUUUUUAUCCACAUGUGAAAAUGGUUCUAUUUUUACUAGAACCUUUGUAGAAUAUGUGAGCUUUUGGUAUUUAUUUUUUUUUUUUAUAAACUUUUGAUCCAUUUCUAGUCAAGGGGAUGCUGAAUGAGUUGAGAAGGAUAACACUUUGAUUUUUCACUUUAAAGGUGACUUCCACCUCCAGUACUCUUAGGGCUAAGUAUAUAUAAGUAUAUAUUAGAAUGCUAAUAAAGCAACAAACCAACAUGGAAGACAAUAAACAAACAUCAGAGUUGCACUGAACGUAGACUUGCUCUGCCUUCGCUCCACCCACUGAAAUUUAGGCUAUUUCCACCACUCCUACUUCUCAGAAGUCACACAGGAAGAGACCACUUCUCACUUUAUACUUCAGUCAGUCAGCGUCAAGACAACAUGGAGGUCAGAGCUUUCUGCAUCACACUGUUGACUGUGAUGAUCCUGCUGUGUGCACAGGAUCAAGAAGUUGAUGCAGCUUUUCUUCGUAUCUCUCCAAACAAACUGCAGUUCCUUGAAUAUGAGUCGGUCACUCUGUACUGUGACGGAGUCUUUUACUGUGAUGUUGAACAUAAAUCAAUUAGGGGGAAGUCCUCAUGUUGCACCACUGAUGACAGAACAUCAAGAGGACCUACCUGCACCAUUCAAAAUAUUCAUCGAGUUGAUUCUGGAAAGUACUGGUGUGAGGAAGGAGGACAGAGAAGAAACA